rnacentral:rRNA from 1 species
CUGACUGCUAUCGGAUUGAUACUAAGCCAUGCGAGUCAUUGUAGCAAUACGAGGCAGACGGCUCAGUAACGCGUAGUCAACCUAACCUAUGGACGGGAAUAACCUCGGGAAACUGAGAAUAAUGCCCGAUAGAACACUAUACCUGGAAUGGUUUGUGUUCCAAAUGAUUUAUCGCCGUAGGAUGGGACUGCGGCCUAUCAGUUUGUUGGUGAGGUAAUGGCCCACCAAGACUAUUACAGGUACGGGCUCUGAGAGGAGUAGCCCGGAGAUGGGUACUGAGACACGGACCCAGGCCCUAUGGGGCGCAGCAGGCGAGAAAACUUUGCAAUGUGCGAAAGCACGACAAGGUUAAUCCGAGUGGUUUGUGCUAAACGAACCUUUUGUCGGUCCUAGAAACACCGAUGAAUAAGGGGUGGGCAAGUUCUGGUGUCAGCCGCCGCGGUAAAACCAGCACCUCAAGUGGUCAGGAUGAUUAUUGGGCCUAAAGCAUCCGUAGCCGGCGCUAUAAGUUUUCGGUUAAAUCUGUACGCUCAACGUACAGGCUGCCGGGAAUACUGUAGCGCUAGGGAGUGGGAGAGGUAGACGGUACUCGGUAGGAAGGGGUAAAAUCCUUUGAUCUAUUGAUGACCACCUGUGGCGAAGGCGGUCUACCAGAACACGUCCGACGGUGAGGGAUGAAAGCUGGGGGAGCAAACCGGAUUAGAUACCCGGGUAGUCCCAGCUGUAAACUAUGCAAACUCAGUGGAUGCAUUGGCUUGUGGCCAAUGCA